CGUAGCUCUGGUGUGUCAGUUGUCCUGCCAAGGGCACCGCUGAUUAGCCACCUACGGAAGGGAUAACCGCUGAAAGCAUCUAAGCGGGAAGCCCGUUCCAAGAUGAGCACUCCCAUGCGGUUAACGCAGUAAGGCCCGUGACGAGACCAUCACGUUGAUAGGCCGGAGGUGGAAGAGUGGUAACACUCGUAGCCGACCGGUACUAAUCGGCCGAGGGCUUGGUUAAA
rnacentral:rRNA from 1 species